rnacentral:lncRNA from 1 species
UGCUUUUAUCUGAGGAACUCAACAGCCAAGGAGGAAUAUCCGUGAUUCCCAUAAUUGCAAUGGGAGGGAUGGGGAAGACAACUCUUGCUCAAUCAAUCUACAACAAUGAAACAAUUCAAAGCCAUUUUAAGGUUGUGAUGUGGGCGUGUGUUGGCUACAAGUUUGACAUUAAAAGCGUACUAAAAGAGAUGAUAGAAACUCAUUCCAAGAUGAAGGUAGCUGAAUUAGAUGAGUUACCUCUUCACCUGUUGGAGUCUCGCUUGCUUAAUGUUAUCUCAACAAAUUGCAUUCUGGUAGUUUUAGAUGAUGUCUGGUCUGUGAAUUACGAUGACUAUGAGAAGCUAGAGAGGCUGCUAAAAAGUGCAGGGAAAGGUUCUAGAGUUUUGAUUACAAGUCGAGACAGUGGGGUUUUCUCUCUCAACUCUUCACAACCUGAUUUUAAGAUGCCAAGUAGGAGAUCGUGAGUCACAGUUGUCCAGACACGAAUGUAGAAAUGAUAUACAAUUAAAGGUUCAUUAAAAAAUUUUCUGACCAAAGUAGUCUUACCUAGUCCAACCAUGCCAAUUGCCAACAACUGAAACAAAAUGAAACUGAUUUAUCCCUCCCAUAAGUUGCUCAACCAGUUUCCUUGCAUCAUCCUCAAAACCAACCACAGUUUGGCUUCCUGCAUCAUUUUGACUCAUCACCUUCUGUAUAUUGCAUUCCGAAGGUUCCAUUUUCAGAUGUUAUGCAUAUCUGAUUGGUAAUAACCUUCUCUUCUGCGUGUAUUUUGGGUAUUCGACUUGAUCAGGAUCCAAAAAAAAUCUGAUCGAAUUGCCUGCCUUGCUUACUCAGUGUCUCUUGGCAAAAGGUGCAUCAGGCGUGCUUCCUAUGUUGUCUUUUCUGGUGUUGUAUCCACUUUCUUGUGUUAAAUUUGAUUCUAUUUUAAUCUUCCAGAUUUAUAUAAAGGGUAAAAGAAUUUACGGUAAAGAACUUCUCUAGCAGACUAAUCUCAUAAAAUUUAUAAAUUUAACAAUCUCUACAUAAUUUCAUUCACGGAUGAAAAGAUCACGAAAAUAUAAGUAAAGUAGUAUACAAAAUUUCAUUACUUGAAGAAAAUUAUUCCAUAGUAUUACGUUAUCCUGAAUAAAAAUAUCAAACUCAAAAUUCUAGUUAGGAUUCUUGUAUAAAUUUUUGUAAUUCUGAUAGUUGUACUUUGAAAUUAAUAUUAGAUGAAUUUAGCAUACAAUACAUGGCUAUCUAUCCUGAAAAUAAAACUAUUGAGAAUUAAUAUUAGUGAAAUUUAAAUUCUCACCAGCAUCAGCAGUCCAGCAAGUAGCUCUAGGAACAGCAGGAAUAGCAGCUUGAACCCCUGUUCCACUAAGCAUCAGGAAUUUGGCUGCUCCCCUGAUUAGUUCCGCCAAGAGCAGGAGUGGAGUAAUCUGCAUAAUCAGAUAAUGUCAAAUACCUACUCACUGAAAUACACCUAAUCAAGCCAACACAAUAAACUAUCUAAUCACUCUAUAUCCUACUAAUAUCAACACAGAUAUACAACACAUUUAACCAGUAUCAACACAGAUAUAGAAUGAAACUAAUUAUGCAUACUUCACGGGAGUAAUAAACAACAUAUAUCCGUAAACAGAAACCAAAAGUUAAAUUUGGAGCCAACAAUUUUUUCAUUUAUUAAAAUUAUUCAUUUACCGAGAUUAAAAUUUCAAUUUGAGCACAACAUACCAAAUAUGUUUGGUUUAGUUUUGAUUUAUACAACGGAUAUAAGAAAGUGAAAAAACCAAAAUGUGAUGCAAAAAAUGCCAUCGUUACAACGGUUGCUUCAGUUCAGAGAGGAAAUCUGCGGGGAUAAAACCUGAUUGAUGCAAUUCAUAUCAAUUCUUACCCUAAAUAGCUUUCAAGUAAGCAAACAAAAAUAUUUGUAACCAACAAACAAUAAGUUGGGAAAAUAAAGAGUUAAUUAUUUUAAACAAAAGCAAAAAUCAGCAAAAUAUAGAAUUGCUAGAAAAAAGAAAAUUAGAAGGAAAAUUUUGAGAGAUGCCACAUCAUUUCCUGAUAUCCUCCUUUAUAUAAACCAUGAACUAUUAAAGAAUCACUCAAUCGUAAAUCAAGAAUGUGACAAUAAAAAAGACAGCAUAUGACUAAUGAGUAUGGUAACUCAAUCCCAGUUAUGACCUCUAGAAGAACCAAGUGCAAGACAAAAUGACAAGAGCAAAGGUACCAAUAAAGGGUGUCAUAUCUGCAAAGCUUAGCAUAGUGGAUACCUCUUUUGGUGGCAAGAGAUUAAUGAUUUAAGCGUCCACAGAGAUUUGUGUGAGACUAAAAGUAGCAGGAAGUUACAUUGAAUGGCCGAAUCAGAUC